rnacentral:rRNA from 1 species
GACGAACGCUGGCGGCGUGCUUAACACAUGCAAGUCGAACGGUGAAGCGCCUUCCUUUUUGGUGGGUGUGGAUGAGUGGCGAACGGGUGAGUAACACGUGAGUAACCUGCCCCCUUCUUCUGGAUAACCGCAUGAAAGUGUGGCUAAUACGGGAUAUUCUGGGUCUGUCGCAUGAUGGGUCUGGGAAAGAUAUUGUUUCGGUGGGGGAUGGGCUCGCGGCCUAUCAGCUUGUUGGUGGGGUGAUGGCCUACCAAGGCGGUGACGGGUAGCCGGCCUGAGAGGGUGGACGGUCACACUGGGACUGAGACACGGCGCAGACUCCGACGGGAGGCAGCAGGGGGGAAUAUUGCACAAUGGGCGCAAGCCUGAUGCAGCGACGCCGCGUGAGGGAUGGAGGCCUUCGGGUUGUGAACCUCUUUCGCCAGUGAAGCAGGCCUGCCUCGUUUGUGGGUGGGUUGACGGUAGCUGGAUAAGAAGCGCCGGCUAACUACGUG